UCUCCGUUGGUGAACCAGCGGAGGGAUCAUUACCGAGUUCUACCGACUCCCACAACCCUUCUGUGAACCUACCUCUCGUUGCUUCGGCGGAUCGCCCCGGUGACGUCCCCUCCCAGGGGGCCCCGUCUCGGACCAGCGCGGCCGCCGAAGGACCUCGAAACACUCUGUCUUGAUUUCUGUUUCCUUCUGAGUGGCACAAGCAAAAUGAAUCAAAACUUUCAACAACGGAUCUCUUGGUUCUGGCAUCGAUGAAGAACGCAGC
rnacentral:misc_RNA from 1 species